ACAUGCCUACAUCAUAGCGUUAAUGCAUCGGAUCCCAUUAGAACUCUGCAGUUAAACGCGCUCAAGCUAGAGUAGUACUGUGACCGCCCAGGAAGUCCUAGUGUUUUACAUGCC
rnacentral:rRNA from 1 species